rnacentral:rRNA from 1 species
GUACCUGCGGAAGGAUCAUUG